UACGGGGGGGGCAAGCGUUGUUCGGAAUUACUGGGCGUAAAGGGCUCGUAGGCGGCCAACUAAGUCGGAUGUGAAAUCCCCAGGCUUAACCUGGGAACUGCAUCCGAUACUGGAUGGCUUGAAUCCGGGAGAGGGAUGCAGAAUUCCAGGUGUAGCGGUGAAAUGCGUAGAUAUCUGGAGGAAUACCGGUGGCGAAGGCGGCAUCCUGGACCGGCAUUGACGCUGAGGAGCGAAAGCUAGGGGAGCGAAAGGG
rnacentral:rRNA from 1 species